rnacentral:lncRNA from 1 species
UUUGAUUUAUUUCAUAAAGUCUUUGUUUUGUGUUUUAAUCAAAUGUUUUAAUGUGAUAGAAAUUGUGUAAGGUGAUGGAAAUGGUGAUAGGUGUGUAAGAAGUACUUCUCUUACACACACAUCACUUGCAUGACUUUAAGUCACAUUCCACUUGCAUGAAUUUAUGUCACAAAUUCCACUUGCAAGGCUUUAUGAAAUUGUUGAAAAAUUUCUAAAAUUUUGUGGACUUAUCUCCACUCCCUUUCCCUCUCUAAAACCGGCCCUCCCUCAAGUGGGAGUACUUUUGGGGCCUUUUAUGCAAUUACAUAAAGUUUUGAUACUUUUGUGUAUUUGCACUUUGGCCCAAAAGU